UAAGCCAUGCAUGUCUAAGUAUAAAUCUUUUACUUUGAAACUGCGAACGGSUCAUUAUAUCAUUUAUAGUUUAUUUGAUAGUCCCUUACUAUUUGGAUAACCGUAGUAAUUCUAGAGCUAAUACAUGCGUCAAUACCCUUCUGGGGUAGUAUUUAUUAGAUUGAAACCAACCCCUUCGGGGUGAUGUGGUGAAUCAUAAUAAGCUUGCGGAUCGCAUGGCUUCGGCCGGCGACGGAUCAUUCAAGUUUCUGCCCUAUCABCUUUGGAUGGUAGGGUAUUGGCCUACCAUGGCUUUAACGGGAAACGGGAAAUUAKGGUUUGAUUCCGGAGAGGGGGCCUGAGAGAUGGCCACCACAUCCAAGGAAGGCAGCAGGCGCGUAAAUUACCCAAUCCUGACACAGGGAGGUAGUGACAAUAAAUAACAAUGCCGGGCCUUUAUAGGUCUGGCAAUUGGAAUGARAACAAUUUAAAUCCCUUAUCGAGGAUCAAUUGGAGGGCAAGUCUGGU
rnacentral:rRNA from 1 species